rnacentral:rRNA from 1 species
UGGGCAACCUGCCCUCAGCUCUGGGAUAACUCCGGGAAACCGGGGCUAAUACCGGAUAUGACCAUUCCUGGCAUCUGGGGUGGUGGAAAGUUCUUCGGCUGAGGAUGGGCCCGCGGCCUAUCAGCUUGUUGGUGGGGUUACGGCCCACCAAGGCGACGACGGGUAGCCGGCCUGAGAGGGCGACCGGCCACACUGGGACUGAGACACGGCCCAGACUCCUACGGGAGGCA